GUCGAAGGGGCAUCAGGGAUUAGCAAUAAUCUGCUGGCGACCGGCGCACGGGUGAGUAACACGUAUUCAACCUUCCGAUAACUCGGGGAUAGCCUUUCGAAAGAAAGAUUAAUACUCGAUAGUAUAUUUUCUUCGCAUGUUGAAAAUAUUAAAGAAUUUCGGUUAUCGAUGGGAAUGCGUUCCAUUAGGCAGUUGGCGGGGUAACGGCCCACCAAACCUACGAUGGAUAGGGGUUCUGAGAGGAAGGUCCCCCACAUUGGAACUGAGACACGGUCCAAACUCCUACGGGAGGCAGCAGUGAGGAAUAUUGGUCAAUGGACGGAAGUCUGAACCAGCCAAGUAGCGUGAAGGAUGACUGCCCUAUGGGUUGUAAACUUCUUUUAUAUGGGAAUAAAGUGCGCCACGUGUGGUGUUUUGUAUGUACCAUUAUGAAUAAGCAUCGGCUAACUCCGUGCCAGCAGCCGCGGUAAUACGGAGGAUGCGAGCGUUAUCCGGAUUUAUUGGGUUUAAAGGGAGCGUAGGUGGGCUGGUAAGUCAGCUGUGAAAGUUCGCGGCUCAACCGUAAAAUUGCAGUUGAUACUGUCAGUCUUGAGUACAGUAGAGGUUAGCGGAAUUCAUGGUGUAGCGGUGAAAUGCUUAGAUAUCACGAAGAACUCCAAUUGCGAAGGCAGCUGACUAGACUGUUACUGACACUGAUGCUCGAAAGUGUGGGUAUCAAACAGGAUUAGAUACCCUGGUAGUCCACACAGUAAACGAUGAAUACUCGCUGUUUGCGAUAUAC
rnacentral:rRNA from 1 species